rnacentral:sRNA from 1 species
AAAAAAGUCAUAAAAUUUACAAUGUUGCUUUCAACAAAAACACAUUCAGCCUGCCUGCCUGCUGCCUGCUGCCUAGAGCCUGCUUCAGCGAUAAAUCCUCGCACUCAACAAAAUACAUAAACGAUUUAUAGUUGAACAAACGGCACAAAAUGCAACAAUAGCCAAAAAAAAAAAAGAAGAAAAAUACAGAAAUACAAAAAAUACAACAGCAAAAAAAGCAAGACAAGGGGCACAGUAGCUAACGGCCAGCGCCUCAGCUAUAGGAACAAGUUUUCCUGCUGUUACCAAAUCCCGGCGCAACAUAAAUCUUUAAUGGAAAAUCUUGGCAGCAGGCGAAAGACCAUAUGCAGCGAGGGCAGUCCAAACAGAAACUGAUAUACCAAAAAAUAAACAAGCAACAAAGCUUUUAGUCUCUAGCUUUUGUGGCUUAUAAUAACGAAUGGAAUGAGAGACUCAGCUCGUUGCCCUGAUCCAGAAUAUAUAGCUUAAGAGCCUGAUUUCACAUUUUCAAUGGAUCUAUGUACCCAAUAAAGGAGAGGAAAGAAAAGUUGAACCCACAACUUACUUGACAA